CUACAUAGGGGAAAGGGGGGCAGCCCCGGCCGGUGGGUAGCCUCGGCCAUAGUAAAUAUUAGUAAUUCGCGCGGCGUGACUUUGAAGUUCGUGUGAUCUCCAUGUGCGUUUAAGAGUAAUUCGUCAAAUGCAAACAGUUGAAGUCGAUUGACCGCUGCGUUCGGGAGUGAUAGAGUCAAUUUCUUUUUCGUCGUCGACGGCCGCGUGACUUCAAUUGUUUCGAAAACCGUUAUUCAUUGGAUAAAGUGUCACAAUGCCUAAAUUUAAAACUAGAACUACGAAUCGCGGAGACUGGAGUGAAGAAAACAUGAAAAAAAGCCAUUCAAGCGGCGCUUGAGAAAAAAUGUUCUGAGAGAGCUGCCGCAGAUCAGUAUGACGUUCCACGAACUUCUCUGCAGGAUCGGGUCAAGAUCGGAUUUAGACUGGGCUCACGAGGCAUGUGUAGAUGUAAAUCCAUCGGAUUUGUACUAUAACUACGAUGUGUGUGUCGCCAAAAAUCGAUUUGGCCACUAAUUACGUAGGUGGCCGGAGCUACCCGCCACUUUUAAAAGAUAUCAAAAUUUGACCACUAUUUGAAGUGGGUUUAAAACGUAUUGGAUAUUAUUUUUGUUCAAAUUUUCAAUAUUCUAAUACGAAUAAAUAUUGUGUUGAUUAUU
rnacentral:lncRNA from 1 species